rnacentral:tRNA from 1 species
GCCCUGGUAGCUCAAUUGGAUAGAGCAGGUCCGUCCUAAGGACAAGGUUGGAGGUUCAAGUCCUCUCCGGGGCG